UGAAAUUAACUUGCUGAUAACGAAAAAGGCAUUUCAUAUGGCUAUGAUACUGAUGAAACAGUUGCAUUCAAGAGGAAGAGAUUGAUGGAGAAGAUGACCGAAGAGGUUGGAGAGGACUGUCGACUUUCAAUGGGUUGGGGUGGCGUAGGGGUGAAGGUGAGAGGUAGUAGGCGUAGGCGUUAACAUUUCUUAGUUUUAGAAGAAAUGGCUAAGUAAAUUUAGUAUACAUGAUACAACCACAAAAGACAUUGAAAAUCAAAUUACAGAAGAAACAAGAAUGAAACCCGGAGCUGCUGGUGGUGAUCGGUGGCCGGUGGUUAGACUGAACGGCGGUGGCUCACCGGUAUUUGCAAUUUUCCGAUGGAAGUAGGGAAAUCAGCCACAGUUGAUCGUUGUGAUCAUUUUUCUUUCUUUUCUUUUGGAUGUU
rnacentral:lncRNA from 1 species